CCCUUAGAUGUUCUGGGCCGCACGCGCGCUACACUGACAUGUUCAACAAGCCUCCUAGUUCGACAGGAUUUGGGAAAUCUUCGAACGCAUGUCGUGAUAGGGAUAGAUCAUUGCAAUUAUUGAUCUUGAACGAGGAAUUCCUAGUAAACGCGAGUCAUCAGCUCGCAUUGAUUACGUCCCUGCCCUUUGUACACACCGCCCGUCGCACCUACCGAUUGAAUGUUUCGGUGAAGAUUCCGGAUAGGACUUUUUUGAUUUAUUUCAAUUUUGUCUUAAAAGCUAUCUAAACCUCAACAUUUAGAGGAAGGUGAAGUCGUAACA
rnacentral:rRNA from 1 species